UAACGCAGCGAAAGCUGUGCUAAUACCGCAUACGAUCUACGGAUGAAAGCAGGGGAUCGCAAGACCUUGCGCGAAUGGAGCGGCCGAUGGCAGAUUAGGUAGUUGGUGAGGUAAAGGCUCACCAAGCCUUCGAUCUGUAGCUGGUCUGAGAGGACGACCAGCCACACUGGGACUGAGACACGGCCCAGACUCCUACGGGAGGCAGCAGA
rnacentral:rRNA from 1 species